rnacentral:rRNA from 1 species
AUUGAACGCUGGCGGCAUGCUUUACACAUGCAAGUCGAACGGUAACAGGCUGCAAGCUUCUGCCUAGUGGCGAACGGGGGAGUAAUGCAGCGGAACGUGCCCAGACCUGGGGGUUAACUACGCGAAAGAGUAGCUAAUACCCCCUACGAUCUCAGGCUGAAAGCGGGGGACCGUAGGGGAUCGCGCGAUUUUAGCGGCCGAUGUCAGAUUAGGUAGUUGGUGGGGUAAAGGCUCACCAAGCCAACGAUCUGUAGCUGGUCUGAGAGGACGAGCAGCCACACUGGAACUGAGACACGGCCCAGACUCCUACGGGAGGCAGCAGUGGGGAAUUUUGGACAAUGGGCGCAAGCCUGAUCCAGCAAUGCCGCGUGCAGGAAGAAGGCCUUCGGGUUGUAAACUGCUUUUGUACGGAACGAAACGGCGCUGGUUAAUACCCGGCGCUAAUGACGGUACCGUAAGAAUAAGCACCGGCUAACUACGUG